UAAGGGGUCACCCCAGGUCGAUGAUGAACACAUUACUGGACUGACAGCUCCCUCUUGUGUCAGCAUGGUUCUAAUCUCCAUCCCAUGAAUGCAGGAGUCUCAUUCUAGGUCUCACCAGGAGGCGGCAGGCUCCUCACAGGACACGGAAACUGCACCAAAGGUCUUUAGAAGGCUGCGGAAACCGAUUCAAAGCUCGACAGGAGCUACAACGUGUCUGCUAAGUGUCACCUGCAGAUGGUGGUGUCGCAUACUUUACUCACGCGUCCCAGAGAAGGAUGCCUGGGAGAGACGGACGAAAGGCUCUGGUUCCGCUCCAUGACAUCCACCCUGAAGAAUCUCAUCACUGAAGCUUGAGCUGCUGUAGGGCGGAAGGAGGAGGACUCCUUGGAGGACAUCUGAGAUCCUCACCACCUCGCAGCAACUGACGCUGACUUUUGACUUUUUUUCUGGUUCACAUUGAGGUCUAAAAAUAAAUGUUUCUUUCUCUGACUCAUAAGUGCUCUAUAAUUGGUAGUAGAUUCUCGCUGCUUUUCCAUUGCAAGUAGGGCAGUUUAAAUAAUACGGGCAGGGCAUUUUUAU
ensembl:lncRNA